rnacentral:rRNA from 1 species
UACGUAGGUGGCAAGCGUUGUCCGGAUUUAUUGGGCGGAAAGGGCGUGCAGGCGGUCUGUUAAGUCUAGGGUGAAAGCUCCCGGCUCAACUGGGAGAGGUCCUUGGAUACUGGCGGACUUGAGGGAGGCAGAGGAAAGUGGAAUUCCCGGUGUAGUGGUGAUAUGCGUAGAUAUCGGGAGGAACACCAGUGGCGAAGGCGGCUUUCUGGGCCUUACCUGACGCUGAGACGCGAAAGCGUGGGGAGCAAACAGG